rnacentral:rRNA from 1 species
UACGUAGGGUGCAAGCGUUGUCCGGAAUUAUUGGGCGUAAAGAGCUCGUAGGCGGUUCGUCACGUCGGCUGUGAAAUCCCGAGGCUCAACCUCGGGUCUGCAGUCGAUACGGGCGGACUGGAGUACUGCAGGGGAGACUGGAAUUCCUGGUGUAGCGGUGAAAUGCGCAGAUAUCUGGAGGAAUACCGGUGGCGAAGGCGGCAUCCUGGACCGGCAUUGACGCUGAGGAGCGAAAGCUAGGGGAGCAAACGGG